GACGAACGCUGGCGGCGUGCUUAACACAUGCAAGUCGAACGGAAAGGCCCCUUUGGGGGUUCUCGAGUGGCGAACGGGCGAGUAACACGUUAGUAACCUGCCAUCGUCUUCGGGUUAACUUCAGGACACUGGGGCUAAUCCCGUAUAGGAAUCUUUUCUGCGUGGUGGGGGUUGGAAAGCUUGGGCGGUUUUGGAUGGACUCGCGGCUUAUCUGCGUGUUGGUGGGGUAGUGGCUUACCAAGGCUUUGACGGGUAGCCGGCCCGAGAGAGCGACCGGCCACGAUGGGACUGAGAUACGGCCGAGACGCCUAAGGGGGGCAGCAGGGGGGAAUAGUGCACGAUGGGCGGAAGCCCGAUGCGGCAACGCUGGGGGCGGGAUGACGGCGUUCGGGUUGUAAACCGGGUUAAGCAGGGGCGAAGCUUGUGGUGACGGUACCUGCAGAAGAAGCACCGGCUAACUACGUG
rnacentral:rRNA from 1 species